rnacentral:lncRNA from 1 species
AUGUCAACCUGUGACACACACACCCAGGCUCAGGGAGGGGACCCCGGCAGUGUUCUCCGGGCCAGAGAAAAAAGAAAGGGAGAAGGCACCUUGCCACUCCAGUUGUGUCCUUCUUGGGUUCUCCAGGUUCCCCAGGACCCAGACACACCCUGGGCUCUCCAGGUGUGUAGACAUCCACCUGAUGUCUACUGCCUCAGAAUGGUCCUGCCAGCCCAGGAGACGCGGCCACGCAGAACUCCUCCCAGGAUGGCUCUGCAGGGGCCUCCCCACCUCUACCAGGCAUUACGGCCCCUCCCUUCUGAGCCCCCCACCCAGGCCCACUCCAAGCAGUCACCCAGUCCCCAGAGCACGCACCCCUCUCCCAGCCAGGGGCCUACCACACCCACUCGGGGGGCACAGAGACCCGAUGCCCACACACAACACACAGGGCCAGCUCCUCCAGAGCGGCACUGGGUGGAAGGUCACCAGCAAACCUGUGUGCCUCCCCCAAUCCCAGACCUGUCCUCAGAUCCCAACCCACAGCCCUCCUGGAGCCCCCGCAGACUGAGACUACUCCCAUCCCCCACAACUGCUGCAGCCCUCACCCCUCCCAGGGAGCAUCUGCUACCUGGAAGCAAGAUGGCGAUUAAGGUGGGAGAAGCCGGUGGUGAGCAUAGCCCCACCCAUCCCUGCAUCACCCCGUUACCGCCACAGGCUGGCCCACUGUCCCCAAGUUAUUCCUUGGGCCAUGUUGCUCUCCGGAGUUCUGCUUUUGUGAGUUUCCAUGCCCAACCCCUCCCAGGUCCCAUAAACACUGCCCCAACUGCCCACCCCUUCCAGACCCUCCAGAGCAAGCCCACAGAAGUCACUCAAGUUCACCUGCAGCUCAGCAUGCUCUCAUCUUUGUUUCCUGACCAGGGGUUAGAAGUACUGACUGGGAGGAGUCAGCACCAUCCCCUUCCUCCUAGGACCAUGAAAGCACCCCAUGCCCAUGACCCACUCCCAGAACGUUCCAAGGGCCCACCUUCCAGACCCUCUCUCUCUCUCCUCUCUCUCUCUCUCUCUCUCCCUCUCUCUCUCUCUCUCUCUCUCACACACACACACACACACACACACACACACACACACACACAGCAGUGGACCUGGUACUCAAAGGCAUGGGUACUGAACCGAGGCCCUAGCACAAAGGCACAGAUGGGAAUGAGCUACCUGGGACACACCUGCACACAUGUUAUGUGCACUGUGUAUAGUAUUUGUGUAAACCCUAUUCUUGGACAUUUAUCUCCCACCUGUGGCUCCUUCAUUGGGCAACUAAGGUGGAACUUGGGACUUGCAAACCAAUGGGGUUGUGGGGUCCUGAGUUGA